AUUAGAUAAAAAACCAAUGCCCUUCGGGGCUCCUUGGUGAUUCAUAAUAACUUCACGAAUCGCAUGGCCUUGCGCCGGCGAUGGUUCAUUCAAAUUUCUGCCCUAUCAACUUUCGAUGGUAGGAUAGUGGCCUACCAUGGUGGCAACGGGUAACGGGGAAUUAGGGUUCGAUUCCGGAGAGGGAGCCUGAGAAACGGCUACCACAUCCAAGGAAGGCAGCAGGCGCGCAAAUUACCCAAUCCCGAUACGGGGAGGUAGUGACAAUAAAUACUGAUACAGGGCUCUUUUGGGUCUUGUAAUUGGAAUGAGAACAAUCUAAAUCCCUUAACGAGGAACAAUUGGAGGGCAAGUCUGGUGCCAGCAGCCGCGGUAAUUCCAGCUCCAAUAGCGUAUAUUAAAGUUGUUGCUGUUAAAAAGCUCGUAGUUGAACCUUGGGCCCGUCCUGCCGGUCCGCCUCACCGCGAGUACUGGUCCGGAUGGGCCUUUCUUUCUGGGGAAUCCCAUGGCCUUCACUGGC
rnacentral:rRNA from 1 species